UCUAGUGUUUCAAUCUCUUAAGAAAUAACUUCUCAGAGAGAACAUUUCAUUCCAUUGCAAAAAACCUUGCUAACAACUGAUUACAGAGUUGGGCGUUUGUAGUGGAAUAGCAGCUCUCAUUUUUGCAGUCCAUGGAUCGCUUCUGACAAAGAACAACUCAUUCAACUGAAGAAUACCAUGGCACAUGUCCUUUUCUCAAACCUUCCUGCUUAUUAUAGAUUUUCUGGACCUGAUAUUGAUCAAGCACGCGUGGCUGGCAAGAAAACAUUAUCCAUUGUCUUCAUUACUGGUUCAUGUGCAAGUGUGAUAGCGCUACUAUGGGCUGGCCAUGUUCUGUGGCGUCAUCUUAAGAGUGGAGGCCAAAUCUCAGCUCUUAUCAUCAUGCUCCUCCUGAAUGACCUGUUGGAGCUCCUCCUGAAUAUAUAUGUUGUGACAAAACUGCUCCAGGAUGAAAACUGCUGGUACAAAAGCAUGACAUGCAAAAUAUUGUCUUCUUCAUGGUCAGGGUCAAGAAUCUUUGGUCUUCAUCUCCAUCCGGUGGUGGCACUGGAGAGUGUUCUCUAUUUGAGACAUCCACCCUGUUCAACUCAUGUUUUUUUUCCAUCUUGCUCCAUCACAGUUUCAAUCAUUGCAUUCUUUUGUUUUGUCCUCUGUGAGGUUUUCAGCUUAACUGCUAUUUUUGUCUUGAGUCUAUCACUUUUGAUUGCAAUAACAGCCACAACGGGGAUAAUCACAUGCAGAAUGCCAGCCCACACUGACGACAUCCCCUACAGGACCAAAAAACCACAUCCUGUAGUUUUGGCUUUGGUAGUGUUCACAGUAGUUACGUAUAUUUCAUUUGUGCUCGUAAUUAUUUUUUGGUGGGAAUACUGGGAAAUGUGGGUAAUCACUAUUGCUGUGAUAAGCCUGACAAAGAUUUCAGACCCUCUCCUUUGUGGAAUGGUUUACUGGACUCAGAGAUCAUAAACACACACACAACACAACACAGCUAUAGAGCUGAGGACAUCACAAAAUUCAGACAACCCAUACACAUAGAGAGUCCAGCAAAAGGAGGUGACUAGUUUGGAUUUCCUCACUGCCCUGAUCAGAACCUUCUAGAUUUUGAUUGUACAUUUUUUUCCUAUGUUUUAUGUUCAUUGGACAAGAGGUUAGAAAAUAAUACAGAACCCUUUACAGCAAAUUCAAUUUGAAUGUUUUUUAAAACCAAUGUAUAUGCUGCCUGUGAUGCCUUUCCCUAUGCCUUUCCUGUCUUGAGAUAAAAUUAACAGCCAUGUCACAAUGUUCAGAUACAGUUUCUGCUUUCUUUUGCUUUGCUUGGA